GGGGGGAAUAUUGGGCAAUGGGGGAAACCCUGACCCAGCAACGCCGCGUGAAGGAAGAAGGCCUUCGGGUUGUAAACUUCUGUGACAGGGGACGAAAGAAAUGACGGUACCCUGAGAGGAAGCUCCGGCAAACUACGUGCCAGCAGCCGCGGUAAUACGUAGGGAGCGAGCGUUGUCCGGAAUUACUGGGCGUAAAGGGCGCGUAGGCGGGCCUGUAAGUUGUAUGUGAAAUACCCGGGCUUAACCUGGGGGAUGCAUACAAAACUGUGGGUCUUGAGUGCGGUAGAGGAAAGUGGAAUUCCUAGUGUAGCGGUGAAAUGCGUAGAUAUUAGGAGGAACACCAGUGGCGAAGGCGACUUUCUGGGCCGUAACUGACGCUGAGGCGCGAAAGCGUGGGGAGCAAACAGGA
rnacentral:rRNA from 1 species